AUUGAACGCUGGCGGCAUGCCUUACACAUGCAAGUCGAACGGUAACAGGUCUUCGGAUGCUGACGAGUGGCGAACGGGUGAGUAAUACAUCGGAACGUGCCCGAGAGUGGGGGAUAACGAGGCGAAAGCUUUGCUAAUACCGCAUACGAUCUCAGGAUGAAAGCAGGGGACCGCACGGCCUUGCGCUCACGGAGCGGCCGAUGGCAGAUUAGGUAGUUGGUGGGAUAAAAGCUUACCAAGCCGACGAUCUGUAGCUGGUCUGAGAGGACGACCAGCCACACGGGGACCGAGAGACGGCCCAGACUCCUACGGGAGGCAGCAGUGGGGAAUUUUGGACAAUGGGCGCAAGCCUGAUCCAGCCAUGCCGCGUGCAGGAUGAAGGCCUUCGGGUUGUAAACUGCUUUUGUACGGAACGAAAAGACACUGGUUAAUACCUGGGGUCCAUGACGGUACCGUAAGAAUAAGCACCGGCUAACUACGUGCCAGCCGCCGCCGUAAGAC
rnacentral:rRNA from 1 species